CAUGCUAGCAUGGGUUGGACGAUUUGACUGAGGACUGGUGAAACCAGAUGGCUACACCAGGCUCCAAUCUGAUUUGGCAGAGUUUCUACAGCUGGAUGCCCUUCCUAACGCCAACCACUCCGAGAGUGUAGUGGGUGCUUUUACGUGCCACCGGCACGAAGGCUAGUCACGCGGUACUGGCAACGGCCACGAAGAUAAUCAAACCAAAUUACCAAAUUUUCAUCAUUUUAAGCCGCUCACCCAAUGAGUAUUUCUGCCAAAUUUGGUGAAAAUCUGUUCAGUUGUUUUCCAGUAAUUUUACAAACACACAGACAAACAGACAUAGGUACCCAAUUUACUAUUUUGCUCGUGUGGACCCUAAAAAUCUUAUAUGGACCCCAACCCCUGGAGUCAUUCGGACCCUAGUUGAGAACCACUGAUCUUACAGUUUGCAUCUGCAGUCAGGAACCACCAUCUGAGCUGAAUAUCAAUCUACUGGAAGCUGCCCAGAUAUGUACAACCAAAUGAAUUCCUUCCACGUAAUGCCACAAUCAAUCUUCUGUAGUAGUCCGGAUGUGGAAUGGAAGACUUGGGAAAUAUUUCCCACAUUCUGUUGUACCAAUUAUUUUUUGUUACCACAGUGCUUAGGCCAAGUGCCCAAAAAUGUAAUAUUUCAUACUUACGAGGGUCAACUUGAAUCUAUUGGAGAAGAGAAAGAAAUGGAAAAAAAAUUGCAUCAACCAAGAAAAAUUCAAAAUGAGCAUCACAGACAUCAAUCUCACCAAUCAGGGAAGUCUUACGAAGGUUAUGAACAGAGACAAAUCACUGUAUUUAUUCGUAUAUAAUAUGCAGGUUUUAAAAUCUAAAUUUUAGGGAUGUGUAUUAUACAUGAGAACUAAAUGUUAUUUGUUCUUCUCCAACACGCAUUUUUAUAGAUGGGGGAAGAAGCACGGAGAGUGUGAUAGCUAAAAUAAAAAAUAGGAUGGAGGAAAUUCAGAGAGCUGUUACCUCUAUUGGCUAUAAAACAAUUUCUCUUUCCAAGUGAAAGGAGGAUUGUAUGAUGCAUAUAUAUGGACAACAAUUCUACAUGGUAGUAAGACCUGGGCUCUGAAUGCAGAGGAUAUGUGAAGGUUAGAAAGAAAUGAGGCUAGUAUGUUCCGCUGGAUGUGUAAUGUAAGUUUACAUGUUCGACAGAAUGCUAGUGUUUUGAGAAAGAAGUCAAGCAUAAGAGGAAUUAGUUGCUGUGUGCAAAAGAGAAGACUGUGCUGGUUUGGUCAUGUGAUGCGGAUGGAUGCCGACAGCUCCAUAAGGAAGUGCCAGUCUCUCAAAGUACAUGGAGAGACAUAGGAUGAAGUACUGAAGAAUGACCUCAGGACAUUGAAUCUUUCAGACAAGAUGACAAAGGGCCAUGAUGCCUGUUUACAUUCUGCAUUAUGACUUAUUUCCUUCCAUACUAGUUGACUAUUCACAACUGAUUUUACACUAGAUAUUUUUUACAGCCUACACCUGUGAAUAUCGAAUUUCCUUAUAGUUUUUAGGAUAAAGUUUUAUAAACCUAACUAAAACUUUCCUUUUUCUAUACAUUAUAGCACUAAAGAAUUAACGUGUAUAAUACAUGAGAUUUUUAUUCGGAGAUUUUAUGGGACAUAAUUAAUGGUGCAUAUUAUAUACAAAUAAAUAUGGUAAUGGUAAAAACAAGUAAGCUCAUAUGAAAUGAGCAUAGGGAAUAUAAACCAGGUAAGCACACACAAGUUAACCAGAGGGAAUAACGGCAGGUAAGCACACACAAGAUAACUAUAAUGACCAGAGGGGAUAAAAUAGGAUAAUCACACACAAUGACCAGAGUGACCAAAGGACUGAAAAUAGGGAAGAAAGAAUAAAAUAAGCACACACAAAAUGACUAGGAUGACCAGGGGAAUUAAAACAGGAGGGGCACACACAAGGUAGCCAGUUGGGUUAAGAAGAGGUAAGCACACACAAAAGGACCAGACUGACCAAAGGGAAUAAAGCAUGUAAGCAUGCACAAGAUGGCCAGAAUGAUCAGAGGGAAUAAAAUAGGUAAGGAACCACAAGUUGAACAGAAUGACUACAGGGAAUAAAAUAGGUAAGGACACCCAAGAUGACCGGAAUGAUCAGAGGGAAUAAAAUAGGUAAGGAGCUACAAGGUGAACAAAAUAACAAGAGGAAAUAAAAUAAGCAAGGACAUCCAAGAUGACCGGAAUGAUCAGAGGGAAUAAAAUAGGUAAGGGACCACAAGUUGAACAGAAUGACUACAGGGAAUAAAAUAGGUAAGGACACCCAAGAUGACCAGAAUGAUCAGAGGGAAUAAAAUAGGUAAGGAGCUACAAGGUGAACAAAAUAACAAGAAGAAAUGACAUCCAAGAUGACCGGAAUGAUCAGAGGGAAUAAAAUAGGUAAGGAACCACAAGUUGAACAGAAUGACUACAGGGAAUAAAAUAGGUAAGGACACCCAAGAUGACCAGAAUGAUCAGAGGGGAUAAAAUAGGUAAGGAGCUACAAGGUGAACAAAAUAACGAGAGGAAAUAAAAUAAGCAAGGACACCCAAGAUGACCGGAAUGAUCAGAGGGAAUAGAAUUGGUAAGGAUCCACAAAGUGACCAGAAUGACUAAAGAGGAUAAAAGCAGGUAGCACACACAAAAGGAUCAGAACGACCAGAGGGAAUAUAAUAGGUAAGUACACACAAGAUGACCAGAAUGACCAAAGGGAAUAAAAGCAGGUAAGAGCACACAGGAUAAGCAGAAGAAAUAUUAGCUGAAAAGCUUUAUAAAGGAUUAUGAUGACAGAAAUAUUUUAAUUAACAUUUUCAAUAAAUAUUACAAAUUAUCAUAUUAUUAUAUUAAUCAUAAUCUAGACAUUUUAGAAGUUUUAUAUUAAGGAUCUCAAUCACAGAAAGCAUAGAAAAACAAUUAGCCUUAUUUACCCUUAAU